rnacentral:rRNA from 1 species
GUGCCAGCAGCCGCGGUAAUACGUAGGGGGCAAGCGUUAUCCGGAUUUACUGGGUGUAAAGGGAGCGCAGACGGCCAAGCAAGUCUGAAGUGAAAUGCAUGGGCUCAACCCAUGAAUUGCUUUGGAAACUGUUAGGCUUGAGUGUCGGAGAGGUAAGCGGAAUUCCUAGUGUAGCGGUGAAAUGCGUAGAUAUUAGGAGGAACACCGGAGGCGAAGGCGGCUUACUGGGCGACAACUGACGUUGAGGCUCGAAGGCGUGGGGAGCAA